GGGCCCACAGCUCAGUUGGUCAGAGCAGGAGACUCAUAAUCUUCUGGUCGUAGGUUCGACCCCUACUGGGCCCA
rnacentral:tRNA from 1 species